rnacentral:rRNA from 1 species
GUGUCAGCAGCCGCGGUAAUACAGAGGGUGCGAGCGUUGUCCGGAAUCACUGGGCGUAAAGGGCGCGUAGGCGGCCUGGUAAGUCGGAGGUGAAACGCUGCGGCUCAACCGCAGCACUGCCUUCGAGACUGUCAGGCUUGAGCACGGUAGAGGCUGGUGGAAUUCCCGGUGUAGCGGUGGAAUGCGUAGAGAUCGGGAAGAACAUCGGUGGCGAAGGCGGCCAGCUGGGCCGUUGCUGACGCUGAGGCGCGACAGCGUGGGGAGCAAACAGGAUUAGAUACCCUGGUAGUCCACGCCGUAAACGAUGGGUACUAGGCGUCGGGGGGAGCGACCCCCUCGGUGCCGUCGCUAACGCAGUAAGUACCCCGCCUGGGGAGUACGGUCGCAAGACUGAAACUUAAAUGAAUUGACGGGG